rnacentral:rRNA from 1 species
GACGAACCGUGCGAACGUUGUUCGGAAUCACUGGGCUUAAAGGGCGCGUAGGCGGGUGUGCAAGUCUGUGGUGAAAGCCUCCAGCUUAACUGGAGAAGUGCCAUGGAUACUGCGCAUCUUGAGGAGGGUAGGGGCAUCUGGAACAUUGGGUGGAGCGGUGAAAUGCGUUGAUAUCCAAUGGAACUCCGGUGGCGAAGGCGAGGUGCUGGACCCUUCUGACGCUGAGGCGCGAAAGCCAGGGGAGCAAACGGG